GAGGGAUAGUUUCAUGCACAUUUAUUUCUCCUUAACAGUUGAUUAUGUUGCUUGCCUGUUCUUUUAGGAACCUCCUUUUCUCCUGACCUGUGACCAGUGAUUGUUGUAUGUUCAUGAGCCAUCUCAGAGGUGUUUGUUUUGAGCAGGGUGUCAUCUUGUUGGGAGGCUUGGCACCCAUGGCAGGAUCCCUUAACUCUUCUGCAUGUGAGUAAUUGCAUGGGGGUACUAUAUAGACUGCACCAUUUUUUGAGGUUUUAGUGCUGCACUGGUUCACAUUUCCUUUUCAGUAGUUCUAGUCCCAGAUAGUGGUGGGUUUUUUUUUCGUUUUUUUUUUUUGCUUAGUAUAUACACUAUUUUUAAUGAAUCACAUCUCUGCCUCAUAAGUAAUGUUCCUGUGUGCCUUUCUCUUUAUUCUCCAACUAAUCAAGGUUUAAAUGGUGUUUCCUGGGGUGCAAUUCCCUAGGUGGUGUAGUUUGGUUUUAAUUCAGUUGCCCCUUCCUGGUCCACUGUACUGUAAUACCAAUUUUUUGGUAACUAAUUCUUAAAAACAAAGGAAACAUUCACAAGGGUCAGUGAGUAAUUUAAAGGGGCCCUGUGUGGCUUUGAGCAGAAAUUGUAAUGAGUUACUAGUAUUACUCAAAAGCAACAAUAUUACUGGGUGCUAAAAGUAACUAGUUGUGUUACUCAUUACAUUAUUGUAUUACUUUCAAUACCCCCACAAAGAAGUCUCUCUCAACUUUAGAUGUGAUUUGUUUAGUUGUAUAUUCUUUCAUAACAGCAGCAAGAUGAUAGAAAAACUUUGUCUCAAUGUUACCAGCUCAAUAAAACAAGUCAAUUCUGACUUUUAAA